rnacentral:rRNA from 1 species
AUUUAAAGUGGUACGCGAGCUGGGUUUAGAACGUCGUGAGACAGUUCGGUCCCUAUCUGCCGUGGGCGCUGGAGAACUGAGGGGGGCUGCUCCUAGUACGAGAGGACCGGAGUGGACGCAUCACUGGUGUUCGGGUUGUCAUGCCAAUGGCACUGCCCGGUAGCUAAAUGCGGAAGAGAUAAGUGCUGAAAGCAUCUAAGCACGAAACUUGCCCCGAGAUGAGUUCUCCCUGACCUUAGGUCCUGAAGGAACGUUGAAGACGACGACGUUGAUAGGCCGGGUGUGUAAGCGCAGCGAUGCGUUGAGCUAACCGGUACUAAUGAACCGUGAGGCUUAACCUU